rnacentral:rRNA from 1 species
UUGCACGCUGGCGGCCUGCUUUACCCAUGCAAGUCGAACGGCAGCGCGGGCUUCGGCCUGGCGGCGAGUGGCGAACGGGUGAGUAAUGCAUCGGAACGUGCCCAGUAGUGGGGGAUAGCCCGGCGAAAGCCGGAUUAAUACCGCAUACGACCUGAGGGUGAAAGCGGGGGACCGAAAGGCCUCGCGCUAUUGGAGCGGCCGAUGUCGGAUUAGCUAGUUGGUGGGGUAAAGGCUUACCAAGGCGACGAUCCGUAGCUGGUCUGAGAGGACGACCAGCCACACUGGGACUGAGACACGGCCCAGACUCCUACGGGAGGCAGCAGUGGGGAAUGUUGGACAAUGGGGGCAACCCUGAUCCAGCCAUGCCGCGUGCGGGAAGAAGGCCUUCGGGUUGUAAACCGCUUUUGUUCGGGAAGAAAUCCUCUGGGCUAAUACCCCGGGGGUAUGACGGUACCGGAAGAAUAAGCACCGGCUAACUACGUG